rnacentral:rRNA from 1 species
CAAGUCGAGCGGGAGAUUUACUUGGAAGGAUUUUUCUUGGAAAAAGCAAAUUUUAGCGGGCGGACGGGUGAGUAACGCGUGAGCAAUUCUGGCCCUUUACAGGGGGAUAACACAGGGAAACUUGUAUUAAAUACCGCAUUUUAUUAUUUAAUCGCAUGAUUGAGUGAUGAAAGUGGAAACACGGUAAAGGGGGAGCUCGCGUUCUAUUAGAUAGUUGGUGGGGUAACGGCCUACCAAGUCAACGAUAGAUAGCCGACCUGAGAGGGUGAUCGGCCACACUGGAACUGAGACACGGUCCAGACUUCUACGGAAGGCAGCAGUAGGGAAUAUUGGGCAAUGGGCGAAAGCCUGACCCAGCAACGCCGCGUGAGGGAAGAAGGUUCUCGGAUUGUAAACCUCUAUCCUUGGUGAAGAUAAUGACGGUAGCCAAGAAGGAAGCCCCGGCUAACUACGUGCCAGCAGCCGCGGUAAUACGUAGGGGGCAAGCGUUGUCCGGAAUGAUUGGGCGUAAAGGGCUCGUAGGCGGCUAAUCAAGUCUGGAGUGAAAGUCCUGCUUUUAAGGUGGGAAUUGCUUUGGAAACUGAAUAGCUUGAGUGUAGGAGAGGUUAGUGGAAUUCCCAGUGUAGCGGUGAAAUGCGUAGAGAUUGGGAGGAACACCAGUGGCGAAGGCGACUAACUGGACUAUAACUGACGCUGAGGAGCGAAAGUGUGGGUAGCAAACAGGAUUAGAUACCCUGGUAGUCCACACUGUAAACGAUGAAUGCUAGGUGUAGGUGGUAUCGACCCCCAUCUGUGCCGCAGUAAACACAAUA